GCGAAUGUGGUGAAGUGGUUAACACACCUGCUUGUGGCGCAGGCAUUCGCGGGUUCGAUCCCCGUCAUUCGCCCCA
rnacentral:tRNA from 1 species